CAGUCGCCACGGUAAUACGUAGGUCCCGAGCGUUGUCCGGAUUUAUUGGGCGUAAAGCGAGCGCAGGCGGUUAGAUAAGUCUGAAGUUAAAGGCUGUGGCUUAACCAUAGUACGCUUUGGAAACUGUUUAACUUGAGUGCAAGAGGGGAGAGUGGAAUUCCAUGUGUAGCGGUGAAAUGCGUAGAUAUAUGGAGGAACACCGGUGGCGAAGGCGACUCUCUGGUCUGUAACUGACGCUGAGGAGCGAAAGCGUGGGGAGCGAACAGGAUUAGAUACCCGAGUAGUCCCUGUCUCUUAUACA
rnacentral:rRNA from 1 species